GAAAGUCUAUGAAGCAGCCCUAGUUGUGAGUCUGUCAUUUAUUCAACAAACACUAAUCAGGCAUCUACUAGCCUCUGUGAUCUGGACACGUGAGGUGCAAGUGAACAAAGCUAAGAGUUCACCUUCUGAGACAUUUCCUUUCCAUUUCUGUUUGUUCUGUGUCAAAGCAAAAAUACUGAGAGAGACCAUUGAAAAGCCACCCCUACCUUGUUACACCUGUAGCCGCUGUGUCCACGUGGCACCCUGUGGUUUCCUCUGUUUUCUUCUCUUCCGUAUCUUUCCUCGCUCCUGGACCUGCCUUCUCUCCCUCCUCCAAGGAGACAUCACGACAGGCUAGAAGAGGCCUAUCCUGCUGCGUCCUCACAGACCAAGGGACAAGCAGUGAGGGAGCUGGUCACACCAGUGGCUGGAAGGGAAGGGAGAGAGCCAGAGGUCCAGCUUGUGCUAGCCCAGAGCAGGCGCCCCCCCAGGGGCAAGCAGUCCCACCUCGAGUCAGGCUUGGGGCUGCCCAAGGAGCCUGUGAGGGGCUUUGGUCACUCCACUGACCUCUCGGGAAGUGAAGCGGGAGGAGUCAGGGAGGAGGCAGGAGUCUGUGGCAGGGGCUGGGAAGUCCCUCAGGGAGUCCCGGGCCUCCAAGAACACCCAAGUCUGUCCACAGGAGCCCGGGCUAGACCACCCCAACUCCAGCACAGAAUGGAGCGCUGCUCCCUGGGCCCUGCUGCAGGAGCCACUGAAGACGGAGGGAGAAGGGACCCUCCACAUGCUCACCGCACACGGUGCCCAGCACUUUGUGGUUUCAGAGGCCGCAGGCCCAGAGGAGCUUCUGGAGGCACCGCAGUCUGGGGGAGACCAGGCCCAGCCCGGGGAGGGGCAGGCCCUUCCCUCCUGGGGGUCUUGAUAGGAUAUCAUCCGGGUCUCCCUGCCCUCUGCCCCUCCCCUGCGUCUUCCUCUGCACAGGGACACCCAUGCACACGCACGCGCUCAGAAGGACGUCCCCACCGCACCCAAGACCAAUCCC
rnacentral:lncRNA from 1 species